CAACCUACAUGGUGACAAGUAGCUGAAUCAUCAGAAGUCAGCAGAGGUCAUAGUACGAUUGGGUCUAGAACCAGUCAGAAGGAC
rfam:Lysinibacillus sinduriensis BLB-1 = JCM 15800 contig3, whole genome shotgun sequence.